rnacentral:misc_RNA from 1 species
GAUGAAGAACGUAGCGAAAUGCGACAAGUAAUGUGAAUUGCAGAAUUCCGUGAAUCAUCGAAUCUUUGAACGCACAUUGCGCCCUCUGGUAUUCCGGGGGGCAUGCCUGUCCGAGCGUCAUUACAACCCUCAAGCUCAGCUUGGUGUUGGGCCCCGCCGCCCCGGCGGGCCCUAAAGUCAGUGGCGGUGCCGUCCGGCUCCGAGCGUAGUAAUUCUUCUCGCUCUGGAGGUCCGGUCGUGUGCUCGCCAGCAACCCCCAAUUUUUUUCAGGUUGACCUCGGAUCAGGUAGGGAUACCCGCUGAACUUAAGCAUAUCAAUAAGCGGAGGA